rnacentral:rRNA from 1 species
GACGAACGCUGGCGGCGUGCUUAACACAUGCAAGUCGAACGGAAAGGCCCUGCUUUUGUGGGGUGCUCGAGUGGCGAACGGGUGAGUAACACGUGAGUAACCUGCCCUUGACUUUGGGAUAACUUCAGGAAACUGGGGCUAAUACCGGAUAGGAGCUCCUGCUGCAUGGUGGGGGUUGGAAAGUUUCGGCGGUUGGGGAUGGACUCGCGGCUUAUCAUCUUGUUGGUGGGGUAGUGGCUUACCAAGGCUUUGACGGGUAGCCGGCCUGAGAGGGUGACCGGCCACAUUGGGACUGAGAUACGGCCCAGACUCCUACGGGAGGCAGCAGUGGGGAAUAUUGCACAAUGGGCGGAAGCCUGAUGCAGCAACGCCGCGUGCGGGAUGACGGCCUUCGGGUUGUAAACCGCUUUCGCCUGUGACGAAGCGUGAGUGACGGUAAUGGGUAAAGAAGCACCGGCUAACUACGU